rnacentral:rRNA from 1 species
UGGCUCAGGACGAACGCUGGCGGCGUGCUUAACACAUGCAAGUCGAGCGGAAAGGCCCUUUCGGGGGUACUCGAGGCGGCGAACGGGUGAGUAACACGUGAGUAAUCUGCCCUUGGCUUUGGGAUAACUACCGGAAACGGUGGCUAAUACCGGAUAUGACCAUGCUCGGCAUCGGGUGUGGUGGAAAGUUUUUUCGGCCAGGGAUGUGCUCGCGGCCUAUCAGCUUGUUGGUGGGGUAAUGGCCUACCAAGGCUUCGACGGUAGCCGGCCUGAGAGGGUGACCGGCCACACUGGGACUGAGACACGGCCCAGACUCCUACGGGAGGCAGCAGUGGGGAAUAUUGGACAAUGGGCGGAAGCCUGAUCCAGCAACGCCGCGUGAGGGAUGACGGCCUUCGGGUUGUAAACCUCUUUCAGUACCGACGAAGCGCCGAUGAUGGUGGUGACGGUAGGUACAGAAGAAGCACCGGCCAACUACGUG